rnacentral:rRNA from 1 species
AUACGGAGGGUGCGAGCGUUGUUCGGAAUUACUGGGCGUAAAGGGCGCGUAGGCGGCGCUGCAAGUCAGAUGUGAAAGCCCGCGGCUCAACCGUGGAAGAGCAUCUGAAACUGCAGUGCUAGAGUAUGAUAGGGGAAAGUGGAAUUCCCGGUGUAGAGGUGAAAUUCGUAGAUAUCGGGAGGAACACCUGAGGCGAAGGCGACUUUCUGGACCAAUACUGACGCUGAGGCGCGAAAGCGUGGGGAGCAAACAGAAUUAGAUACCCUAGUAGUCC